rnacentral:rRNA from 1 species
UACGUAGGGUGCAAGCGUUGUUCGGAAUUAUUGGGCGUAAAGAGCUCGUAGGCGGUCUGUCGCGUCUGGUGUGAAAACCCAGGGCUUAACCCUGGACCUGCAUCGGGUACGGGCAGACUAGAGUGCGGUAGGGGAGAUCGGAAUUCCUGGUGUAGCGGUGAAAUGCGCAGAUAUCAGGAGGAACACCGGUGGCGAAGGCGGGUCUCUGGGCCGAUACUGACGCUGAGGAGCGAAAGCGUGGGGAGCGAACAGG